AAGUGCCUGAAAAAGGAUUAAUCUGAUAGAUUAAAUUAUGUAUAUUUUCCUAACUAUACCUU
rnacentral:tRNA from 1 species